UACGUAGGGUGCAAGCGUUAUCCGGAAUUAUUGGGCGUAAAGAGCUCGUAGGCGGUUUGUCGCGUCUGCCGUGAAAGUCCGGGGCUCAACUCCGGAUCUGCGGUGGGUACGGGCAGACUAGAGUGAUGUAGGGGAGACUGGAAUUCCUGGUGUAGCGGUGAAAUGCGCAGAUAUCGGGAAGAACACCUGUGGCGAAGGCGGCUCUCUGGGACGGUACUGACGCUGAGACGCGAAAGCGUGGGGAGCAAACAGG
rnacentral:rRNA from 1 species